GUUAUUGUUUAUUUGAUACAACAAAUGGAUAACUGUAGAAAAACUAGAGCUAAUACAUGCUUUAAUCGUAAGAUUGUAUUUAUUAGAUAUUCUGAAUUGGUGAAUCAUAAUAACUUCGCAAAUCUCGUUUAUGACGAGAUAAAUCAUCCAAGUUUCUGCCCUAUCAUGCUUUCGAUGGUAGUGUAUUGGACUACCAUGGCUCUCACGGGUAACAGGGAAUUAGGGUUCGAUUCUGGAGAAGGAGCCUGAGAAACGGCUACUACAUCUACGGAAGGCAGCAGGCGCGUAAAUUACCCAAUCCUGACUCAGGGAGGUGGUGACAAGAUAUAACGACGCGGUUAUUAUCGCGAUUGUAGUGAGGGUAUUCUAAACAGAACCUAUAGUACGAUUAGAGGGCAAGUCUGGUGCCAGCAGCCGCGGUAAUUCCAGCUCUAAUAGCGUAUAUUAAAGUUGCUGCAGUUAAAAAGCUCGUAGUUGGAUUUCAAGGAUUGUAGAACCUCCACGGGGAUACAUCCUACUAGUCUUCGGACUGUUACUGUGAGAAAAUUAGAGUGUUUCAAGCAGGCUUUCGCAAGAAUACAUUAGCAUGGAAUAACGAAUGUAUUUAGAAUCUUGGUUAAUUCUAAAUUACGAUUAAUAGAGACAGUUGGGGGCAUUAGUAUUUAAUUGUCAGAGGUGAAAUUCUUGGAUUUGUUAAAGACUAACGUAUGCGAAAGCAUUUGCCAAGGAUGUUUUCAUUAAUCAAGGACGA
rnacentral:rRNA from 1 species